AGUCUGUUGCUCUUUUUUUUCCUCCAGCUUCUUGCGUUUUCCUCUAGGUUCUUUUCACUCUCUUCUCUGUUAACCUUUCCACAUUGCAUCGCGGCCGUUGCCUCCCUUCAUGGUUCACUCUUCCACGUUCUUCUUCUUUCUCCCUAGCACAAUGCUUUCAUGAAAGGCAGAUAAUGACCACGGUUAUGAAGAUAAGCUACGACAUCAAGCUAACCAAUUUUUUAAAAUGUGUGCUCCCAUUUAAAUCUCUCUUUUCUCUUUUCCUUCUCCCAUUCUUCAAUUUUGGUGGUUGACGUACAUUUGUAGAUCUUACUUCGCUUUCCUUCGCACUUGGAUCUGCAAAUGCGUACCAUUUCGACCACUUCCUCCGUUUCCUAUCUUUGUUGGAUUAUGAGUCUCGUCACGAACUGUGUUCAUGUGAUUUAUUAAUAGAGGGAGAGACUAUAAAGAUUUGGAGAAGCAAUUGGAGAGAUAAUUGCGGUCCAAUAGGAAUCGGGGUAAGCUAUUUGAGUUAUCUCAGCAACAAACUAUGGAAGGUGAGAGGACAAUCACUGCUACAGAUGGGCUGACAAAUGGCGUUCAGAAAAUUAGAGUUUUGCAUGGGUAAUUCUCAAAAUCAAUUUUAUUUCACUACACUAUUAUAUUAACAAGAGCAAUUAUUCCUUUCAUCUAAGACAGGCCCUUAGGAUUAGCUUGAUAGAUGAAUGUGUUUAGCCUGUUACUCUUAACUUGCCGCAAGUCACUUUUUGUUAAUAUAGUCUUGAAAUAAAAAUUAAUUAUAGUUUUAGCUUUUAUUAGGAUACUUUAAUGAUCUUAAUCUGUAUCUUUGUCAUUGUUCAUAUUCAUGACUCUAAUUUGCUUUUAUUGUUGAUAGGUUGAGAAUAGUUUAUCGUAUUUGGUAAAUUAGUCAGAAACUUGUGCAUUUUCCAAAUUAAUUUUCUAUAUAGCAGUGAUUUUGGCUGAGAAAAUUUCAUAGUAUACAUCGUAGCCGUUAACAUGUUAUACAUUGUACAAUUAGUUAUCUUUAUUGUUUGUCUGAAACUGUUGGAGGAUAUCUCUGCAAUGCAUCCUUUAACCACACAGUUGAAUCUUAUUGUUGUUCUCUCCUGUAUUUUUGCCUAUCAGUUCUAGUUUCCUCUAUUUAUUAAUUAUUUUAAACUUGCUUUGACAUCUACAGAUUCGGGUUUUGUUGCCUUUGUUUUUUUUCAUGAUGGUUGUUGAGUAUAAAUGAGCAUAGAAGGAUAGUGUAAAAUUAAUGAUGCUUUUUGUGAUGGUUUUUGUUGAAGGUUCAUGAUUUUCCUCACUUACUUACUCGGACUACUGUUCAGUUAUUAGAUUCAUAUACAUAGUAGUUGAAAUUAUCUUUAGAAUUAGAAGUUAAUUAGAAUGCACUAACUUUAUAUUAAUCAUAAAACUAUAGACUUCUUUUAUAAUAAUUUAAAGAAUUUAAUUUGAAUGUACUGAUGGUGUCAAGAAUUUUAUAUUAUCCAUCUAAUCACAUAUUGACAUAUAGUUUGUUGGGUAAAUAUUUUUUUUGAAAGUCAUUCCUUGAAUGAUCUACGAUUUGUUUGUAGGGUAACUGAUUGUAUGAAACUUAACCUCUCACUUUAAAAGUCAUAUUUAGGAUGACUUCUAAUUGGUUAAUAAUAUAAAAAUCUUUACAGAACAGUUUAUGUGGUAUGACUUUUAUCAAGUCAGAGCACAUUGUCUGUAUGAAGUUUAAGUUGUAUGACACUUCUAAAUCGUCAUGUGAUGUUCAUCAUUAACAUAAGAUUGGAUGGUUAAGAUUUAAUGCCCUCAGUUAUCACAAUAAGUUACUACUCUUUCAUUUUAUGCCUUAGACUUCUUUAGCUUAAUCUUUAAGGUUAGAUAUCGUAGAGGCUUGGGGACUGAUUGCAUGUUUUUAUUGUUGUACUUCUGCUCUUGAUUAUCAAAAUGAAUGCUGCUAUUCUUAUUUUUGGUACAUUUAGCUUGGUGUUUGGUUAAGUCUGUUGGAGUUGUAAUUGGUUAAUACUAUUAACUACUCAUGACUUAUGUCACUUUAUGUUAUUCCAUAGGUAGUUGCACUUGUUUAAACAACUCUCAAUUGAAGUCCUUAGCUUUAUUAAAGUAAUCAAGACGAACAAUAAGAGACACAAUCUUUUUAUUGAAUCAAUAAACUAGAGGGAAACUUCCAUUGUGAUCCUCUUUUUUCUACUUUAUAUUCUACAUAUAAGGGUUGGCUACUUCAUAUGAUCCAUCUGUAGAAUUAUGAGCGGGUUAUUCUCAUCCAUGAAUAAUGCCUCCUCCUCUUUCAUCAUUUAUUUACUGUUCAAGUGGUAUUGAUUUAUUUGUCAUAAUCUUUUACCUACAUCCUUCUCCCCAGAUGAUUUUGUUCUUUGUCAGCACAUCUUGAAGGUUGGUAUAACAUUUAAGUUCCAUAGAAUAUGGGUUGAAAUGAUUAUUAGUAUUCUUUUUUCCUUAGAAUCCUUAUAAGCUUUUCACAUGUAAUAUUGCAUCCAAGGGCUGAGACACAAAACAGAGGAGAGACGAAUAUGGAGACCACCUUAGACCAUGUAUAUGAGUAGGAGUUGCUCAACUUCAUAGAUAAUAUUUGGGCUCCAUCUGUAUAUCUGCUUCUCUAGAAUUUAAUUAAAAUGAUCUAUAUGCUUGCUGAUACUUUUGUUCU